ensembl:ncRNA F43E12.8 ncRNA
AGUGGAUUGGAUAAGUCAGUGAAGAGAUUGUGUGAGUUCUAAUGUCAGCGGAGGUCUACGAAUGUAAAGUCGUUUGUGCAAAGGUCAGUGAAGUGAAGACUCUUCACCAAAAUUCACCCACUUUUAUUGAGC